CUAGCAUAAAGUGAAAGAACAGGAGUCGCAUGGAAAAACUAAAACCCCUUCAACUUCUCCACGUAUUUUGUCAGACUUUUCUCAUCCAACUUUUCCACUUCUUCACGUUCACCAAGGCUCAGCACUUCUAAUUACUAGCUAAUUAAUAAUUCCAAUUAACAAAAACUUGAACAACAAUUGAAGAAGCUGAAGGAAAAAGAAAAGAACCAAACAAAAGAAAACACAGUUUUUUC
rnacentral:lncRNA from 1 species